CGUAGGGUCCGAGCGUUGUCCGGAAUUAUUGGGCGUAAAGGGCUCGUAGGCGGUUAGUCGCGUCGGGAGUGAAAACUCAGGGCUCAACCCUGAGCGUGCUUCCGAUACGGGCUGACUAGAGGUAUGCAGGGGAGAACGGAAUUCCUGGUGUAGCGGUGGAAUGCGCAGAUAUCAGGAGGAACACCGGUGGCGAAGGCGGUUCUCUGGGCAUUACCUGACGCUGAGGAGCGAAAGCAUGGGGAGCGAACAGGAUUAGAUACCCUGGUAGUCCAUGCCGUAAACGUUGGGCGCUAGGUGUGGGGACCUUCCACGGUCUCCGUGCCGCAGCUAACGCAUUAAGCGCCCCGCCUGGGGAGUACGGCCGCAAGGCUA
rnacentral:rRNA from 1 species